rnacentral:rRNA from 1 species
AACGAACGCUGGCGGCGUGCCUAACACAUGCAAGUCGAACGGAGAUUUCAGUAAUGGAAUUUUAGUGGCGAACGGGUGAGUAACGCGUAGACAACCUGCCUUCUAGCUGGGGACAACACUGCGAAAGUGGUGCUAAUACCGAAUGUUGUAAUUUGAGCGCAUGUUCGAAUUACUAAAGGUGGCCUCUAUUUAUAAGCUAUCACUAGAAGAUGGGUCUGCGUCUGAUUAGUUAGUUGGUGAGGUAACGGCUCACCAAGGCGACGAUCAGGAGCCGGUCUGAGAGGAUGAACGGCCACACUGGGACUGAGACACGGCCCAGACUCCUACGGGAGGCAGCAGUGGAGAAUCUUCCGCAAUGGACGAAAGUCUGACGGAGCAACGCCGCGUGAGUGAAGAAGGUUUUCGGAUCGUAAAACUCUGUUUUUAGGGACGAAUGUGUGAAUUGUAAAUAAUGAUUCAUAAUGACGGUACCUGACAAGAAAGCCACGGCUAACUACGUGCCAGCCGCCGCAGUAAGAC